rnacentral:rRNA from 1 species
AUACGUAGGGGGCAAGCGUUGUCCGGAUUUAUUGGGCGUAAAGAGCGUGUAGGCGGCUAGGUAGGUCCGUUGUGAAAACUCGAGGCUCAACCUUGAGACGCCGGUGGAAACCAUCUAGCUAGAGUCCGGAAGAGGAGAGUGGAAUUCCUGGUGUAGCGGUGAAAUGCGCAGAUAUCAGGAAGAACACCCGUGGCGAAGGCGGCUCUCUGGGACGUGACUGACGCUGAGACGCGAAAGCGUGGGGAGCGAACAGGAUUAGAUACCCUGGUAGUCCACGCCGUAAACGAUGGGUGCUAGGUGUGGGCGGUGUCGACUCCGUCCGUGCCGAAGCUAACGCAUUAAGCACCCCGCCUGGGGAGUACGGCCGCAAGGCUAAAACUCAAAGGAAUUGACGGGG